UCACGGGCGAUUGGAUCUGACCUCUCGUCCCCGGUUCCUCUGUGCUGCCGGCGUCAACACAUCUCACCACAGUUGAGUCAGGUUAUUCCUCCCGAUCUCCUCCCUUCCUAUAACCUCCAGUCCUCCCCGAUCUCGACCUCCUCGCUAUCCUCUGCGCCCGCCGACGUGGUCUCCGUAUCCUUGGCCAUGCCGGCGGCGGCAGCGAUGCGGUCUGGCGUCGGCGCCGACGGAGUUCUCCUUGCCCAUCAAUCUUGUGUCUGGACCAAGCACGACACCACCUCGGUGUUGAACGCCGUGAUAAUGCCUGCUCGGGCUCAAAUCCCCCUCCCCCACGAGCUCCCCCUCGACGCGCCGCCACCCACGCUCAGACCUCGCCUCCGCCCAUGCCCCCGCCCUCUCCCCUCCCCUCUCCUCCCCCGAAGAAAAGAGAAGAGAAGAGACGCAGGGAGAUCGAACCACCAGAUCGAGUGGCGGCCAGAUCCAUCUGCCACGGUCGCCCAGGGCUCGCGCGCCUCCGACGACGCGGCCGUGCCCGUGUGUCAAGGGCCUAGUCGGAGAUGCGUCUGCUCCGCCAUGGCCAUGGAGCUUCCUCCCAAUCCAAGGUCUUGGACUCGACGGGGACGGCUGCUCUUCCAAGGUCUCGUCUCUUCUCUUCCGAUCCAUCCAUCCCACACCCCAUUCUAUUUGCAUAUGUGUAGAUACAUAUUCAGAUCAAACUGAACCCCAAACCAUGGGCACUACUUCAAGAAAUAUAGUCCAGUAGGACCACGGAGGUGUGUCCCGGUAGAGUAAAAAAAUAUCCUCUGCCUUAUGCCCUAUGUGUUAGUUAUUUACAUACGUACGAGGAAUCUCUGAUUCAUACCCUAGAUUGCAUAGAUGCUGUUAGUAUGAUUCAGUCUCUCCAGCUUUUUAUGUCAACUAGGAACGUCUGCAGUCAUUUGAAAAGCUAAUCUUGAUAACCAUGUACUAUCUCAUCAUACUCUUCCUUCAAAGGGAUAAAUAGUGCCUUUGACAGUAUAUUCUCCUGGAUAGUUCUGUCCUAUUUCUAACAUUUGAAUAUGGUAGAUUGACCUCUGGAUCAAAUUAAGGUUUCUAGACCCUUUUGCAGAGUUGCUCCAUCAUCCAUCUGCAUGUUUUUAUAUAGGUUGCCAUGUUGCUACAAGUUAGUAAUUUAAUGAAAUCACCCCACUGUUCCAUUAGUUACUGCCUAAGAGAUUGUUGCUUUGUACCAUCUGAACCUGACUAGAAAUAGUUAUUUUCGAAGUUGGCCCUUUGCUGGAGUUUGAUAGCAUAUUACAUUAAUACAAUUUAUUUGCCUCAUGGAGAGAAUAUGAUCCUGUUAUUCACCUGAAUAUCAUUUGUACCAGCUGAUUUUAGGACAAUGUAUUCAAUCAUCAUGGCUGGUUUCCUUUCCCCUUGGCAAUUGCUUAAACAGAACAACUGAACAAGACUGAUUUUAUUUGAUGCAUUAUAUACAUAUAUACAUACUCCUAAAACCAAGCAUGUUGAGACUUUUUAAAUAUACACAAGAAAAUGCAUUGUGGGCAUUGCGGCGUCUAGCUUAGAAAGUGUCAUGGUGGCAACUUUUGCCGAACAUAAACCAACAAUUUAGUAGUCAAGGAACCAUCCUUUUUCCUUAUGAAUGGAAGAAAAAUAUCAUCUUUUGCUGUACCGCACUAUUUGGGUGCACACUCAGUACAAUAUCUUUAGCUUCUUCAAUAUGUUCAGGAAUUAAUCUUUCUCCAAUAUCUUCAGCUUCUCAAUUUUGUAGAAUUUUAACAAAAGAAUGCUUGGAUAAAUCUCUACCAUUAAGAGAAUAGUGACCUUGGAACAUAACUGGUUGUACCAAGAAAGUUUAAGAGGGAUAUGUAUGAUCAUUUCUAAUUAGCUCUACUUCAGAUUUCACUUUACCAUGGUCUGUAAGCAUAGGAGCCUGGCAGUUUUCAAACAGACGGAUAAAUAGUUCAUACUUUUAUUUUUUUGUUAAACUGAUUUGAUUUUAUGCCUGCUUUAUGUAUUGCGUUUUUUCUUAAAUUGACUCAAAAUUUUAUGUCUGCUUUACUUACACAAGGGCACAAUGAUGAAUUUUAAGGACGAUGCUCCUGGAAAGAAAGACUCUGUUCUCUUAACAAGGAUGGAAAGUAUAACAUCAUACAAAAACCAACAUGGACAACCCACAUCUGGAUGUCAUGAGCAUGGGCGUGAUGCCUUCACUGCUGACUCCAUUGCAAUGUCCCGUGCAAUAUCUCUUGCCCCUGAUAUGUGGGUCGUGAGGGUCGUUUUUUAAAUGGACUCGCAACUCCUGGUGGAAGCACUGGAUAUCAAUAAGGUGGACUCGUCGGCCUAUGCUGCUGUUAUUGAGGAUACCAAGAUUUACGGACCUAACAACUAUGAGGAAUGGGAGGCCGGUGUACCGGCCCUUGUGGCUGCCUGUGCUUUGGGUGAUUCAGCCCAGCACCGUUAAGUUAUAAAGCAAUGUUUUUUCUCAAAGGAGAAGCUUUUAGUAGAUGUACUUGUGCUUAUGCUUUACACAUUUACACUUGUAUAAUUAUUCUGAUCCCUGAAUUACAUGCUUGAUGACACGGUAUUAGUCCAGUUAGUUUAGUGAUAGUUGUUGUAUGUUAUGUUCAACUCAUUAACUAGAUUUUUUUUUAUUUCUUGAUUGCAGGAUCCAAAGAACUAGCUGGACUGGACUCUAGAUCACGGAAAGUUUAGUCUUCGCAGUUAAUUAGGAUGGCUAAAUUACAUUUGAGUUUCAUUUGAUUGAUAUUUGCUAUGAGAAUUAUGAUUUUACAUAUUAUAUGUAUGGUUUUGAAUAUUCUAAUUGAAAGGCUGUAUUUUUUUUA